rnacentral:tRNA from 1 species
ACUUAGCUGGCUCAGUCAGAAGAGCAUGUGACUUUUGAUCUUGGGGUCAUGAGUUCAAGCCCCACGUUGGGUG